UCCUUCGUCGUGCGCUUCUUCUGGUUAAAUUUUAUCCCAUGUCUCCUCGUUCACCCUCAGCAAAUAGUGUGAGAGCACGGAGAGAGGAGAAAGGGCGGGAAAAACAAAACCACACACCACCUCAACACAUACCCUCUGCUGUCUCCAGGAUCCGCCCCCGUAGAAAGGAGCCUGGGGGUAGUAGGGAUGGCUGACGCAUCAAGCGCCAUCUUUCACGAGGGCGGAACUAGUCACUGUUGCAGCACCGCCAUUUCUUCGUGGGACACCGUAGAAAUGUAUUAUAUGCUGGAGCUGAGGAUUUAUUGAUUACCUCCCAUUUACCAAGAUUACAGCAAAUUAGAUUUAACUGUGACUGGCACAUGAACAAUCUGAUGUUGGACAUGGAUGAAGAAUAUUGCUGAAUAAACUACAGGAUAUAAAAGAGAAAUAGUGCUGGAAGUCUGCUCAUGGCAUCUCAAGACUAUCACCUGCUUUUACCAAAUGGCGCUUUAAGAAAAGAAUGAAGAUGCUGCGUGGGAAAUGACACAGGGAUCUAGCUCUGAAGCAGUUUUUCUGCUAAUGAACAAUACAUUAUAAGUCAGGAGAUAUUCAUACUACUUUUCUGAAUACAGGGAGAGAAAAGAAAGAAAAACAAGUGGCACCUUUGAUGAAUAGCAAAUACCUAACACCCUUGUCGUUUUCCUGCACCAAGAUCCAAUUAUCUCCCACAUUUCGUAAGUUUUUACAAACGGCUUGUGUAUUCAAGGAGAAUUAAAAGAAAAAAUCCAAAUGAAGGGGAAAAGAAGAAAGUAAUGCUGCAUCUCAGCUGAUUUUAACUGUUUAAAUAAUGCCAUUGUGAGAAAAAAACAUCAUAAAAAGUGCACUUCACGUUCGUACUUGGUCUAGGGCAGCUUGUACACUGUCCAGCUCGGUCUGCCAAGUACUUGUUAAAACUAAUUAUGAUGCUGCAGCUUUCAGUCUCUAAGUAGAACUCACAGAAAAUGUGCUUGGAGUGGAGAAAUGCAAAUUGGGUUAUGAGGUAAUUUUAUACUCUAGGGACAAAGGUUUUUUUUUUUCCCAUUUCACAUUACUUCAUGUUGGAAAGGUUCAUUAUUAUUUAUAAAGCAGAACAAGCCCCAAAGCCAAUCCAUUUCCAACCCCACUGUCACUUUCUGCAUUCCAAACACCACUAAAUUCCCAAAUGGGCAGGCUAAUUCUUUCCUUACGGAGCCAUAAAACUUGCUUGGGGUAUUACUAACUUAGGUGACAGCUCUUUAUUCAAAAUAAUUCUUAUUCUCCAGGAAAAGCAUUCAAACACCUUAUUUCUGUGUGACCAUAACUCUGGUGAAAGAUAAGUAUGCUUGUCUCUUAUUUAUCACUACUAAAUUUUAUUUCUUUCAGCACCUGGGUCCUACAGCAAUGGGGGCUAAUCAGAUACUUCAGAGUGCAUGCUUAGAAGACAAUUAUUAUUCCACUUAUCAUUUUACAUGUUUAAGUAAGAUGCACUCCUAAAAGGGUUAUUUUUCAAGUAAAUUUGGUCAACCAGAUGCUUAAAUGGUCCAUUUAAUAAAGUAUGCAGUAAUGUCGUAUUUUGCAAUUUAUCUAACAUUGUUCCCUAAUUCAUUCUUUUAAAUGCAGAAGUGCUAAAGCCUUGUUUAGAACCAAACAACAACAAAAACAACAAAAACAUUAUUCAUUCUCCUUCCCUGACCCUCCCCUACCCCUGCAUCCCAACUCCAAACUAACGUAAACCCAAGUGAUUCUUGUGGAGUGACAAGUUUAACUCACAUGAGAUGAAUUUGUCUUGCCUGCAGAUAUGCGGCUAGCAUUCAGACCAGUGGGUUGAAAAUACGAGAUUUUCCAUCUCAGCUGAAGAGCUUGCUGACAGUCAGAGUUGCAUCAA